GAUGAACGCUGGCUACAGGCUUAACACAUGCAAGUCGAGGGGAAACGACGGGGAAGCUUGCUUCCCCGGGCGUCGACCGGCGCACGGGUGAGUAACGCGUAUCCAACCUGCCUCUGACUGAGGGAUAACCCGUCGAAAGUCGGCCUAAUACCUCAUGGCAUCGUCUGCGGGCAUCCAACGACGAUUAAAGAUUUCAUCGGUCAGGGAUGGGGAUGCGUCUGAUUAGCUGGUUGGCGGGGUAACGGCCCACCAAGGCAACGAUCAGUAGGGGUUCUGAGAGGAAGGUCCCCCACAUUGGAACUGAGACACGGUCCAAACUCCUACGGGAGGCAGCAGUGAGGAAUAUUGGUCAAUGGGCGAGAGCCUGAACCAGCCAAGUAGCGUGCAGGAUGACGGCCCUAUGGGUUGUAAACUGCUUUUAUGCGGGGAUAAAGUGAGGGACGUGUCCUUCAUUGCAGGUACCGCAUGAAUAAGGACCGGCUA
rnacentral:rRNA from 1 species